GUCCACGCCGUAAACGAUGGAUACUAGCUGUUGGGAGCAAUUUCAGUGGCUAAGCGAAAGUGAUAAGUAUCCCACCUGGGGAGUACGUUCGCAAGAAUGAAACUCAAAGGAAUUGACGGGGGCCCGCACAAGCGGUGGAGCAUGUGGUUUAAUUCGAUGAUACGCGAGGAACCUUACCAAGGCUUAAAUGUAGAUUGACAGAUUUGGAAACAGAUUUUUCUUCGGACAAUUUACAAGGUGCUGCAUGGUUGUCGU
rnacentral:rRNA from 1 species